ACGGAGAAACAGACGGCCGAACGAGCUGUUACGCGGCGAGCUUCGGCCGAGGGUGAGACGAAUUCGCGCCGGAUUUCGCUCGAUGUCCGCGAAUUUAUUGCUCGGCCAUCCGAUCGAUCGUCGAACCCAGUGACUUUCGCGUGUUUCCACGGAGAAUUUCGGAAUCUACCGCCAACGUGUUCUGGCCCGGUGGAUUAAGUUGUUAGCGUGCUGUUUCCAUUUAGUGCGCCGGUUGUUGCCUGUGUACCUUGCGAUUAAUGAGAUUCGGUUGAGUUUAAGGUUUUUGUAUUUCUGUUUCAGAGCUGGAAUUAACGCAGUUGUUACGAUUAAAGUAUGGUUAUACCUUCUGCAUAUUUACGCAGUUUAAAAGACUUUGGCUAAUAGGUAUCGUUUAUUUAAACGUAAUGGCCAGUUUUGCGUUUGCCCUUUUAGAUUCUUUUAACGAGGUGCAUAAUUUUAAAAAUAUAAUCGCUAUGUCGGUGGCGUUGCAUAGACUCUAAUAAUAAGCAUGACAAUUGAAUCGAUGCAACAUAUGAGCCAGUGGCAGUGGCUGCGUUAAAAAGCACAGCGAUCAAGUUAUAUAUACGUACGUAAAAACACAUCACACGGAGAGAUAUUUCUCUCCACUUGACCCGCAAGAAAUAAACCUAAUUCUUUACACAGCAGCGCUAAUUGUACCAACGCCAUCGACCCGUGAAAUCCAAAUCGUUGUACGUGAAAACAAAGCGAACCUUCGGUGUAUUUUCGUUGCAAACCGAACACGAGUUUCGAGGAUCGAGCUCACUAUAAAUCUGAUCUCCAUUUGCGGAAGGUUCCCAGGGGGAAUUUAAUAGAUCAGUCGAACUGCUACCAGUAGAGACGAAUCGAUUCCAUAAAA